GGCGCGUUCGUCUAGGGGUUAGGACACAGCUCUUUCAAGGCUGUAACACGGGUUCGAUUCCCGUACGCGCUA
rnacentral:tRNA from 1 species